UCUCUUAAGCUGUUGUCGUACGCUCUUUUUAUCAGCUGCCAUCCACUUGGCUGCCGUCGCCACCGCCGCCGCCGCCAACAUAUCGAUCAGCGUCUUGUUUCUUUUUUCGCGGGGGGUUUUCAUCAACUGAUUUUGAAUUGACCGCCACCGUCGAAAUACCUUUUUUCAAUUGCCAAGUACAAUUUAGGAAUUUCUUUUCUAUUCUUUUUUCAUUUAUUGAAUAGCAACAGAAUUAAAAAGGCAAUGUAUCAACGGAAUUUUAAAGAAUGGUCAUUUUUGAAGCGCUUCAAUUUCAAUUUUUUUCCGCAAUCAAUAUUCCACUCUUUGUUGGCAAUAACAAAAAUCUGUUUUUCAUUAAAUUGAGAAAAACGAAAAAUUAGUUUAAAAGCUAUUAAAACAAUACCUGUCAACUAUGACUUGGUUGAUUAUUCGACCAUUAAAUCAUUUUUCAAAAAUAUCACACCAAAAGAUUUCUGCCAGAAAAUCGAGACGUAAAUAGAACGCGUACAGCAAAUUUUUAUUGACGUGACGUUAAAUUUUGAUUUAAUUGUUAAUGCACUGCCGAAUUCCGUUAUUAUUACGACGUGGUAUGGAAAAAGAAACCAUCAAUUUAGAAAGGUGAUCUGCUGUUAUUUGAGGAGUUGCCACUUUUGGAAAGGGUCGCAUGGGUAUUCUAUGGAAAUCAUGAUAUCAUCAUGCACGCUUGCAAAUUUGCAAUGCAACUAUUUCUAGUUCUCUGAUACACAUUCCCCCCCCCCCACAUAGCCCAUGCUAAUACUUUUCCCAAUAGAGACGGCAUUGAAUUGGUUGAGCCAAUUACAGAGCAACACGUCGAUAAAGAACUGUGCUACCUGAUCUUUUGACUCCACCCAGCACAAUCGCCUCGAUUGGGCUACAACUCACAUUUUUUUUAGUGAAUAGUAUUCUGGUGGCUUCGGUCUUGAAAGAACGUUAGGCCUUACUACAUUACCGGUAUUCUUGGCAUUAGUACAACUGCUGUCGGCCAGCUUUUCAUCUCCAGUUGACCUCGGCGCUUAAAAUGAAGCUUUCGAAAAGAAAAGAAAUUGGUUGAAUGGCACUUGAAAAACAUAGACAAUCAUCAACGAGAACAUAAAUGUUAUGUUGGGAGUAGAAAAGAGAAUCGAUCCCGUUCGAGGACGUCUUCCUAACUGGAAUGUGUUAAAAAAGGGGAACAGCCUAGGUCAAGAAGCAAUAUUCUACACAGGCACUCACAGUGUCUUUUAUCGUCCUCUGCCAACCGUUCCGCCUCCGUGUGAUUUGCGAAAAUUCGUCGGGUGGCCGACCGACAAUCAAUCAAAGACAAUAAAGAAGACAGUCAGCACCUGUGCGUGCUUGUGUAGAAUAUUGCUUCUUGACUUUGGCUUUUUCCCUUUUUUUACACAUUCCAGUUAGGAAGACGUCCUCGAACGGGAUCGAUUCUCUUUUCUACUCCCAACAUAACAUUUAUGUUUUCGUUGAUGAUUCUAUGUAUUUUUCAAGUGCCUUUCGACGAUUUUCUUUUCUUUUCGAAAGCUUCAUUUUACGCGCUCUUGUUUCCCCCCCCCCCCCCAUUUCUCUAUGAAGAGCACUUUGCUAUUUCAACAUCAGUAUUUUUGGCCGGUCAUCGAUAAUUCCAAGGAGAUGAUUUUUUGUUUCACUGUGUUCAUCGGAUUUGUUUUUUCUCUUUUGGGAGAUCAUGUGGAGAUGACAUAUACAGAUUUGAAAUUA
rnacentral:lncRNA from 1 species